rnacentral:rRNA from 1 species
GACGUAGGGGGCGAGCGUUGUCCGGAUUUAUUGGGCGUAAAGCGUGCGUAGGCGGCUGCGCAAGUCGGGUGUGAAACCCCGGGGCUCAACCCCGGAACUGCAUCCGAUACUGCGUGGCUAGAGGUAGGUAGGGGAGAUCGGAAUUCCUGGUGUAGCGGUGAAAUGCAGAUAUCAGGAGGAACACCGGUGGCGAAGGCGGAUCUCUGGGCCUUACCUGACGCUCAGGCACGAAAGCUAGGGGAGCGAACAGG